UUUAAGGACCCUACCCUGAAGUGAUGUGCCUUCUAACCCAAUCACGACUUGCUGCAAGAAGUCACUAUUCCUUAUGGAAUAGCAACUGAGAGAACCCAGCCCCCAUCAUUGCCCUCUGAGCCCUACCUCCUCUCUCUCUCUUUCAGGAGAUCCACACUCCAACAGUCCUCAGUUGCCAUGUGAACUGCCUUUCUUAGCCAACUUCUGUGCAUUAGUCACAUCUGAGAAAGGACAUUUACCCAGCCACCAGCGCCUGAGAUAACCAUCAGCUAGACUGGAACCUCUCCAUAUGAAGAUAUGCAUGUGCUUGGGAGACCCCUGAAUUUACCAGUAGACUCUUCAGUGAAUCAGUCAAUACCAGCAAGGACCACUUAUUGAAUAUUCACAUGUGCUGGCCUUUCUUACCUUAUUUCAUUCUCAUCAUAAGUCUGCGAGGAAGGCAUUCUUAUCCCACUUUUCAGACGGGCAAGAAUAUUAGCACCAGAAGGGACCUUCGAGAUGAUGCACAUCCAUCACGUCUGACAGAUAAGGAAACUGCAAUCCAGAAAACUCUCCUGGAAGUUUGCUGACCCCUCGUUUAGAUGAUAUUAGACAGCCAAUCUGCAGCACCUCCUCCAGCAGUGUGUACAUUCUUUAAAGUAGUCUGCUGGAGCUCUCUGUGGGGACAACUGUAAGGCUUAAUGAGAACAAGCAUGGGAUCAGGAAGAACAUGGAGGGCGACCUGGCACCAACUUGACAUUCAUGGAGUAAAACAUGAUUAAAACAAAGGGAUAAGAAGCUAGAAAGAGGAGCAAAGGCAAUACAAUGGAGCAAAGAUAGUGUCUUCAACAAAUAUGUCGGGACAAUUGGACAUCCACAUGCAAAACAAAAUGCAUCCAGACAGAGACCUUACACACUUCAUCAAAAUUAACUUGAAAUAGAACACAGAUCUAAAUGUAAAAUGCAAGCCUAUAAAACUCCUAGAGAACAAUGUAGAAGAAAACCUAGAUGACCUUGGAUUUGCUGAUGCCUUUGUUGAUAGCACAUCAAAGACAAGAUCCAUGAACGAAAGAAUUGGUGAGCCUGACUUUAUUAAAAUUUAAAAAUUCUGCUCUGUGCUAGAUAAUGCCAAGAGAAUGAGAAAAACUACAAAGGAGAGGAAAAUAUUUGCAGAAGACACAUUUGAUAAAGGACUGUUAUCCAAAAUGUACAAAUAACUCUUAUAACUCAACAGUGAGAAAACAAACAACCUGAUUUAAAAAUGGGCCAAAGAUCUUAACAGGUACUGACACCAAAGAGGAUAUACAGAUGGCAAAUAAGCAUAUGAAAAAUGUUCCACAUCAUAUGUCAUCAAGGAAAUGCAAAUUAAAACAACAAUGAGAUUCCAAUGCACACUAAAAUCUGGAACACUGACAACACCAAGUGCUGGUGAGGAUACAGAACAACAGCAGUUCCCAUACAUCGCUGGUGGGAAUGCAAAGUGGUACAGCCACUGUGGAAGACAGUUCAGUCGCUUCUUACAAAGAUAAACACACUCUUAUCAUACAAUCCAGCAGUCAUACUUCUUGGUAUUUGCCCGAACCUGAAAAUUUAUAUUCACAUAAAAACCUGUACAUGGAUGUUAAAAGGAGCUUUAUUCAUAUUUGCCAAAUUUUGGAAGCCAUCAAGAUGCCUUUCAGUAGGUGUGAGGAGAAGUAGGUGUGGUACAUCCAGACAGGGGAACCUUAUUCACUGAUAAAAAGAAAUGAGCCGUAAAGCCAUGAAAAGACAUGGAGAAGACUUAAAUGGAUAUGACUAAGAGAAAGAAGCCAAACUGAAAAGGCUACAUACUGUGUGACUCCAGCCAUACGACAUCCUGGAAAAGUCAAAGCGACGGGCACAGUAAACAGGUCAGUGGUUGCUGGGUGGGGGUGGGGAGAGCACAGAGUGAAAACACCGGUCUUAUAAUGGUGGAUACAUGUCAUUGUGCAUUUGUCCAAACCGUAGAAUGUAACCACUAAGAGUGAACCCUAAGGUAAACUAUGGAGUUUGGGUGAUUAUGACAUGUGAAUGGAGGUUUAUCCUUGGUGAAAAAACGUACACUUCUGGUGAGUGAUGUUUGUCAUGGAGAAAGUGAAGCAUGUGCGCAGGCAGGGGAUAUAUGGGAAAUCUCUGCACCUUCUUCUUGAUUUUGUUGUAAACCUAUAAUCACUCUCAAAAAAUAAAGCCUUAAAAAAAAAGAAGAUUGAUUGGGAAGCUGGAGUAAUUCAGGUGUGAAAUGAAGAGAUCUUGUUUUAGAUUACUGAUACUGGGAAUAGCAAAAAAUGUAUAAACGAAUUAUCUACAGGACUCCUGAAGGAAUGUGUGUAGAUGCUGGGGAUAGUGCAACAAAUGGAAAUGGAAAGGUAAAUCCAAAGCGGAAGCUGAGACGAUUGUGGGUCCACUAACAUUACUGUGGACAUAAAAAUGUUAAAGAAAUGGGGAGAUUUUCUAACAUAAAUAAUGGCAGAGAGAAUCAAAGCCUCUUGGCACAUGGUAGG